GAUGAGAGUAUCUGUUGAACAGGUAGGUACACCCAGACACUAUUCUUGUUUUAAUUAACGACUGAUGAGAGUAUCUGUUGAACAGGUAGGUACACCCAGACACUAUUCUUGUUUUAAUUAACGACUGAUGAGAGUAUCUGUGGAACAGGUAGGUACACCCAGACACUAUUCUUGUUUUAAUUAACGACUGAUGAGAGUAUCUGUAGAACAGGUAGGUACACCCAGACACUAUUCUUGUUUUAAUUAACGACUGAUGAGAGUAUCUGUUGAACAGGUAGGUACACCCAGACACUAUUCUUGUUUUAAUUAGCGACUGAUGAAUCUGUAGAACAGGUAGGUACACCCAGACACUAUUCUUGUUUUAAUUAACGACUGAUGAGAGUAUCUGUUGAACAGGUAGGUACACCCAGACACUAUUCUUGUUUUAAUUAACGACUGAUGAGAGUAUCUGUUGAACAGGUAGGUACACCCAGACACUAUUCUUGUUUUAAUUAACGACUGAUGAGAGUAUCUGUUGAACAGGUAGGUACACCCAGACACUAUUCUUGUUUUAAUUAACGACUGAUGAGAGUAUCUGUAGAACAGGUAGGUACACCCAGACACUAUUCUUGUUUUAAUUAACGACUGAUGAAUCUGUGGAACAGGAAGGUACACCCAGACACUAUUCUUGUUUUAAUUAACGUUAAUCUCUUGUUCUUUGGCGUUAUAUAUUCAUGUUGAGGCUCCUGUUAAUAUUAAAUU